UAUGCCAGGACCUGAACUAGCUACUGGAGAGGGAGAGCCCUCAAGGAGCACCCAGACUGGGGAGGGGAAACAGCCCCAACACCCAGCCCCAACACCUGUAAGACAGCAUGUUUAUCUCCACAAGGUACUUAAACAAGGCUCUGGAAGCCCUAGAGGCCAAGUCUCCCAUGCUUCAAGCUUCCCAAGGCAAGCGUCCUUCAUUACCUCCGGGGAAAUCUUCCAUUCACACAGAUCCUCCUGGCAUCUAAUACUAUUCCUUCCUGCUACAAAAGCAGCCCGCUUCUUAUAGCCCCAGAGUGGCAGGGAGUGUUUCUGAUGUUCCUUCUCAUUGACCCUUUAUUUGGGCCUUAGAGACAUCACAGUCUCAGGAGAACCCAGGGGAAGUGAUAUGAGAGCAUGGUCAAGUCUCCCUUAGACAUCAGAACCCAGGCUUGGAUACACUUCUAGCCACUUCCUUUUCUGGGCAUGAAAAUAGGACAGAAAUUCCCAAUGUCCCUUAAUUCAGCAUAUUCCCUCCCCCACUCCUCCUUGAACUACUUGUCCUCUAUUUGUGACAUCACAAUGGUCUCUAUGGCAACUGAUUGUGAGGUCACCAGUCCUUAAAGCAACAGAAUAUGUGGGUCCAGACAAUGGCCUGCAAGAGAAAGGAAGAAUACAAAAUGGAAGCCUGGGAUAGAGAUCAUCUCCUAGGAAAGGGGGAGGCCACCCAAGGCCUGUCAGGGGGAGGGCUCCACUUCUCAGCCCAUCUGCAGUAGGGCCACAUUCGGGGUAGGCAAGAGCAAGGCCUGCUAGAAAGGGAAACUGCUCAUCAAGAAACUGAGGGAGGCUGGGCGCGGUGGUUCAUGCCUGUAAUCCCAGCACUCUGGAAGUCCAAGCUGCACUGGCUCCUUCUUAGUCCCAUGGAAGCACAGAUCAACAUCAUUGCCCUUGCAAACUUUUCUCAGCUUAGGAGAGUCUACUCGCUCUUUGCACAUUGUUGACAUGAAAUGAAUAUUAAACACCAAACCUCAUAGAGGCCAGCCCUGCUGGGUGAGCAAUGAA